rnacentral:misc_RNA from 1 species
GAUGAAGAACGUAGCGAAAUGCGAUAAGUAAUGUGAAUUGCAGAGUUCAGUGAACCAUCGAAUCUUUGAACGCACAUUGCGCCCGCUGGAACUCCGGCGGGCACGCCUGUCCGAGCGUCAUUUCAACCCUCAGGCCCCCCUUCGCGGGCGGGCCUGGUGUUGGGGCCCGGCCGCUACCCUGCGGCCGUCCCCUAAAUUCAGUGGCGGCCUCGCCGUGAUCCCUUGCGUAGUAAUGCACCUCGCACCGGAGAGCGCCGUGGCCACGCCGUAAAACCCCCAAUUUUCAAUGGUUGACCUCGGAUCAGGUGGGAAUACCCGCUGAACUUAAGCAUAUCAAUAAGCGGAGGA